AGACAGUAAACAGAUCCUUUAUCUAGUGAGCCAUUGUCAGUAUUUCAGACACAAGAGUUCAGUUCUCAGUGAAUCUGAGUAAAGAAGGAAUGGAGAAACCCUUGGGCCUGCUCUUCCUUUGGCUUCAACUAGACUGGGUGAGCAGUAAACAGGAGGUGAAUCAGAAUCCUGAAGCUCUGAAUGUCCAUGAAGGAGAAAGCUUGGUUCUCAACUGCAGUUACACCGAUAGUGCUAUUUACUUCCUUCAGUGGUUUAGGCAGGACGCUGGGAAAGGUCUCACAUCUCUGUUGUUAAUUCAGUCAAGUCAGACAGAGCAAACGAGUGGAAGAAUUAAAGCUUCGUUGGAUAAGUCAUCAAGACACAGUACUUUAUACAUUGGGGAUUCUCAGCCUGGUGAUUCGGCCACCUACCUCUGUGCUGUGAGGCACAGUGCACAGCAGACACCUGCAGCCAAUACCCAAACUCUACAGCUGAAGCGCCAGCCACAUGUCCUUCACUGA